rnacentral:rRNA from 1 species
AUGUUAUGCUUGUGGAUCUCAUGUAUCUCUACUCCUAAUGCAGCAGUUGGUAGUCUCGCUUCCAGGUUUUUCUUCGUCCCACCUUCGUUGGUUUUUUUCGCUCGUUUUAUUUCGCUCCUCCCCUCCCCCGACCCCACCCACACACGUUGUGAUCCCCUCGACUUUGACGUUAGCGCAGCCGAUCUUGGAGGAGACCCCGUCGGAUCUAGCUGCCGCCGGACGACUCGAGAAGACCCCGCCAGAUCUCGCCCUCGUCAUCAGUUCUGUAUCGCCGUCGUCGUGGCCACGGUAAAGCUGCCAUCCCUGCCGCGGAUCCCCUCUAGAAUACCCAGCCGAUGGACGCCGCAGGCCGCAGGCCGAUUUCAACCCCAGGGCUGGUGGACGUACAAUGCAGAGGCGUCCCAGGUGCGACUGUACAGGGAGCUGGAGUGCGAGUUCUUGACGGAGCAGGCGACCUGCAUGCGCAACAGCCGCCGCGAUGACUCGCACCAGCGGUGGCGCUGGCAGCCUUCCUCCUGCGACCUCCCCAGGUUUGUUGCGCGGUUGCUGCUGGAGCGGCAGUGGAACAAGAGGCUGAUGUUCGUGGGGGACUCCCUGAAGUCGAUGGUGUGGCUGGUGUCAUCGGCGAUCCCUUCGCGCGACCAAAAGUCCCUGGCCAAGUUCGUGGGGCCAAAAAACUCUCUCAACGUGUUCAUGGCGGCGUAUUACAACGCGGCGGUGGAGUUCUACUGGGAGCUCCAACUCGAAUGA